GCAGUGGUGGUUCAGUGGUAGACUUCUUGCCUGCUACGCGGUAGACCUGGGUCUGAUUCCCGGCCAAUGCA
rfam:Danio rerio chromosome 4, GRCz11 reference primary assembly.